GCCCCUGUGGUGGAACUGGUAGACGCGCCAGACUCAAAAUCUGGUAUCCGCAAGGAUGUGUCGGUUCGAUUCCGACCGGGGGCACCA
rnacentral:tRNA from 1 species